UCUGAUUGGCUAAGAAUUUUUUUUUUUUUUUUCUUCGUCUCUCCUCUCUAGAGUCUGGACUCUUUCUCUCUGCUCACGGCAAAAACUCUCCGAGAAGGAACAAUCCGUCGAAUUGAGAGUUUGGUUCAAUCGAUGAUUUCUCUGGCUUCAGUGUUGGCGUCGAUUACAAAGUCAGAAGCUUAAUUGGAGAACUUGCAAUAGGUGGUAGAGGUAUUCAAGGUUCUUUGCAAAGUGAUGAUGCUUCUGCACUCGGAUACACUCUUCUUGUUGAAUAUGUGUUUGACAUUUCUUUUCCAUCAAAUCAAAACGCCCAGGGAUCAGCUGAUGUUUUGACGGACAUGCUUGGGGCUCUUGAUCCAAGUCAUCCAGAGAGAUGAGGAACUUAUACGUAAUGCCCAUUCCUUGCUCAUAUCAGUUGAAUCCCAAGACUUGGAUUGCCAAAAUUCAUUCAACUCAUAUCUGCUCCAUUGAGUAAACUGAGCAAUUGCCUCCUGCUCCAUUGGAUACUCAGGAAACCAGGAAGUAUCCACCAUCAAUGUCUGCUAAAACCAACAAGAGGCAAGAUUCUCUGUUUUUUUUAAGAAGCAGAGAAUUUGAUGAAACUAAUAACAAGAAGAUGAAGAAGACAGGAAGAAGACAAAGAAGAAGAGAAGAAGAAGACAUAUAUAUACUUGCAUAUAUGUAAUUGUAAUAGUUUAGGAUCAACCAUUGGACACAUAAUUUGAAAGUUUCUUAAUGAAAUUCUUAACUCAACAUUU